rnacentral:lncRNA from 1 species
AUGUCCGGUCAGGUGAGGCGCCCAGAGUACCUCGUGAGCAGCACCACCGCCUUGCUGACAGUGCCUGUGUGUCCCCCUAGCAACCCCGACGAUGUUGUGGAGGCCGGUGGGAGUGAGAAGACCAAGGAGGAGGCCCUGGCUGGGGAAACUGAGGAGGAGAUGGGGCUGGGGACUGUGAAGGCAGAGGAGGAGGAGGAAAAGGAGGAAGCUGCAGCCAUAGACAAGGCGGAGGAGGAGGCGGGCCCGGCCCAUGAAAAUGACAAGGAGGAGUCGCCAGCCAGCGACCGGGCUGAGCAGGAAGACAAGCCUGCCCCCAAGGUGGACGGGACGGACGAUGAAAGCUCAAGGAGCAUUGUGAGUCUGUGUGAUAGUGACCACGAAGAAAGUGAUACAGACUUGGUGGCGGAGAGCACCGACUGCCGCCAGGAUGAGGAGGCUGCAGACUCCACUGGGACACCUUAAAGCCUCAGCCUGGGACUGGAAGAGUCCAAACGUUUCCAUCUUGACCAGGAAACAAGAUCGACCUCACUCUUCAUCUAUUACGAGCCAACUUUAGUAUAAGUUUGGUUCUUUAUUGUCUAGAUUUAGUAUUAAGUUCUGAUACAUGUUUACUACUUGGCAUUUAAGAUUUUGGUAGAAUGUAAGAUUUGUGUAUUAAGUAAUCGUUAUCUAUCUAUUUGCUUUUAAACUAGUUUUUGAUAAGAUAAACACAUGUAUAGGAGAGCCCCUUAAGCAGAGGUAGAACUUAAUGUACUGGCGUCAGGCAGUCACCCUGGUGUCCACCACCAGGAUCACCCCCUGUCCUGUCACCCGCAUCAGUCCUGUCUGAAGAAGGGGACUGUGGAUUUAGUCCUGACCAUCUGCCCUCAGGCCAGUUACUUUCCAAGGAUUCUGUGGCCUCACGUCGGUUUGUACCUUUGACCAUGGGACCUCUGUCACACUCCCUCUUUCAGGAUGACGUGGAUGGCCGGGCCUUGCAUGCCCAGACCCUGGCUGCUGGAACAUCCCUAACUCACCCUCUCUCCUCGUGUCUCUAACAUGUUUCUUUACAUCCCGUGCCUCGAGACGGUAUUUUUAAACCAUAUAGAGUGACACCGAAUGGGGCACAGAUAAAACUAUAAAAGCAAUUUUAAUAAAGUACACUUUGAUUGCA